rnacentral:rRNA from 1 species
UACGAAGGGUGCAAGCGUUACUCGGAAUUACUGGGCGUAAAGCGUGCGUAGGUGGUUCGUUAAGUCUGAUGUGAAAGCCCUGGGCUCAACCUGGGAAUUGCAUUGGAUACUGGCGGGCUAGAGUACGGUAGAGGGUAGUGGAAUUCCUGGUGUAGCAGUGAAAUGCGUAGAGAUCAGGAGGAACACCCGUGGCGAAGGCGACUACCUGGACCAGUACUGACACUGAGGCACGAAAGCGUGGGGAGCGAAC